GACGAACGCUGGCGGCGUGCUUAACACAUGCAAGUCGAACGGAAAGGCCCUGCUUUUGUGGGGUGCUCGAGUGGCGAACGGGUGAGUAACACGUGAGUAACCUGCCCUUGACUUUGGGAUAACUUCAGGAAACUGGGGCUAAUACCGGAUAGGAGCUCCUGCUGCAUGGGGGGGGUUGGAAAGUUUCGGCGGUUGGGGAUGGACUCGCGGCUUAUCAGCUAGUUGGUGGGGUAGUGGCGUACCAAGGCUUUGACGGGUAGCCGGCCUGGGAGGGUGACCGGCCACAUUGCUACUGCGGUAGGCAGCAGACGCGUAUGUGCGGCAGCAGUGGAAAGUCUUACGCAAUGGGCCGGCGCGUGAUGCGGAAGCGCUCGGUGCGGAAUGACGUCCUUCUGGUUGUGAACCGCUUUCGCCUGUGACGUAGCGUGCGUGACGGUAAUGGGUAAAGAAGCACCGGCUAACUACGUG
rnacentral:rRNA from 1 species